rnacentral:rRNA from 1 species
UGCUUGCACCUUUCAAGCGAGUGGCGAACGGGUGAGUAACACGUGGAUAACCUGCCUCAAGGCUGGGGAUAACAUUUGGAAACAGAUGCUAAUACCGAAUAAAACUUAGUAUCGCAUGAUACAAAGUUGAAAGGCGCUACGGCGUCACCUAGAGAUGGGUCCGCGGUGCAUUAGUUAGUUGGUGGGGUAAAGGCCUACCAAGACAAUGAUGCAUAGCCGAGUUGAGAGACUGAUCGGCCACAUUGGGACUGAGACACGGCCCAAACUCCUACGGGAGGCUGCAGUAGGGAAUCUUCCACAAUGGGCGAAAGCCUGAUGGAGCAACGCCGCGUGUGUGAUGAAGGCUUUAGGGUCGUAAAGCACUGUUGUAUGGGAAGAAAUGCUAGAAUAGGGAAUGAUUCUAGUUCGACGGUACCAUACCAGAAAGGGACGGCUAAAUACGUGCCAGCAGCCGCGGUAAUACGUAUGUCCCGAGCGUUAUCCGGAUUUAUUGGGCGUAAAGCGAGCGCAGACGGUUGAUUAAGUCUGAUGUGAAAGCCCGGAGCUCAACUCCGGAAUGGCAUUGGAAACUGGUUAACUUGAGUGUUGUAGAGGUAAGUGGAACUCCAUGGGUA